GACAGCUUAGCUCAGCCGGUAGAGCACGUGACUUUUAAUCAUGUGGCCCCGGGUUCGAAUCCCGGAGCUGUCACCA
rnacentral:tRNA from 1 species